AGAACGAACGCUGGCGGCAGGCCUAACACAUGCAAGUCGAGCGGAUCCUUCGGGAUUAGCGGCGGACGGGUGAGUAACGCGUGGGAACAUACCCUUUGGUACGGAAUAGCCUCGGGAAACUGAGAGUAAUACCGUAUGUGCCCUUCGGGGGAAAGAUUUAUCGCCAAAGGGAUUGGCCCGCGUUGGAUUAGGUAGUUGGUGGGGUAAUGGCCUACCAAGCCGACGAUCCAUAGCUGGUUUGAGAGGAUGAUCAGCCACACUGGGACUGAGACACGGCCCAGACUCCUACGGGAGGCAGCAGUGGGGAAUCUUAGACAAUGGGGGAAACCCUGAUCUAGCCAUGCCGCGUGAUCGAUGAAGGCCUUAGGGUUGUAAAGAUCUUUCAGUGGGAAGAUAAUGACGGUACCCACAGAAGACGCCCCGGACUAACGCCGUGCCAGCAGCCGAC
rnacentral:rRNA from 1 species